GGUGUCGCCAAGUGGUAAGGCACCAGAUUCUGACUCUGGUAUUCGCAGGUUCAAGUCCUGCCAC
rnacentral:tRNA from 1 species